GGAAACAUACAGAAACAAAGAUAUUCUGGUCUCCAAGUAAGACUCAACUAUGUCUAAGUGUGAAUUCCAAGGAAGACUAAUAUGAGGAGAAAUAGCUACAAAGGACAGAAGAGAAAGCUAGAAUUUGGUUUGGCAAUGGAGCACCUGGUUUGUGAGGAUGUACUAGAAGGAUUAAGUUUCUUUAGCUGGAGAAGCAAGUCCAAGAAACUGCAUGGUUUGUUCUCCAUCUCACAGCCAUGGAAAAAGUAUUUCAGCACUUAAAGGUGAUUCUUCAGGCAGCUAUGCUUGUUAGAUUACAUCCAGCAUCUACCACUUCCUAAGCACACAAAUAGCCAUGUGCCUCUUUGAAUUCAGAAAGAAACUUUCAUGUAUUUUACAAGUGUGUGAGAUGUAUAUACUUCUGAAUAAGUGUACAGACAACCAUCUGGUAUUGCUACCAAACCGAUGCAAAAUUCUUUUUUAAAUUCUAUCUUAAACUUAUGAAAGACGAUAACUCCUGCCAGAAAGCUAACUAACUAACUAAAUACAAAAUCUUUUUUUUCCUAUUGACUGACAAAACUGCAAGGGCUGCUUGAAAGAUAAUGCUUCCUAUUUUAUUCUGUUAGUCCACAAUGUCAGAGAUGGAUGUUGGUGGUAUGGCAGUAGAGGUUGAACCUUCCCAACAAUAUUAAAUUAUAUUUUGUUGUCUUGUGAUAGAUGGCAGCUGAGGGACAGUCAGAUAGAAUGGUGCCUGACAUGGAAAUGUGUAUAAAGAAAAUGCAGGCCACUGAAUUCCUCCAUGCAGGAAAAAAUGGCACCUACUAAAAUUCCUUGGUGCUUGAUAUUGAGACUGAACAAUGGAUGCGCGCACAGUGAGGCAGUGGGUGCUAUGUUCCAACAGUGGGUCACCUUUGCUGGUGCAGAUUUUGACAAGCACAGCAUGGCAACUCUUGUUCAUCGCUAGCAAAAAAUGCAUAGUUAAUGGUGGUGACUUGUUGAAUUUGGUGUAUCCAAUAAUGUCAUUGUUCUCUUUGUAUCUGUUAUAGUUUCCACAGAAAUAAAUAGGAGGCAUUACUUUCAGAGCAACCCACAUAUAAUAACAAAAACUACAGUGUAGAUACAACUUCCAAGUACAUCCCAAGCACAUUUUUCUGUUUGAAAACUGAAUAGAUUGUCUAACAUACGUUUUCUCUCUAAAAUAACUAUUUUACUUGUAUCGCUAUUUUGGCAAGCUUUCUUACAAACCUUUUCCAGUGUAAAACAGAACUGAAAUCUUCAUGGAAACAUAAUCUUAAAUAAAAUACUGUUCUGAAAUACUUCACUUUGAAAAUGAAAUGGCACGUAAUUCUUCAAAAGCAUUAUAAUGCUUAUAAAAAAAAUUAUGCCUACAUAAUUCUUACAAAUAUAAACACUGUACAAAGAAAGCAAGGGUCUAAACUCUGAUUAUCAUGUAUGCCUCUGCAUUUCUUUAUAGGGUCGAAUACAUUUAACUCUUAAACCCCAAAAUUAAGAGGAUUAUCUAUACAUGUAUGUGACAGUGUUGCUUGUUGAUGUCCUUUGCUGAGAACAAUUUUCACAGUAUUCUUCAUUCUACGUUAGCCCACUAACACCAUCGUGCUGGACCAGAUCUGAAGCAUUUUUUGCAGGUUAUAUAUGUGCCACAAAUCUAGAGGGACACUAUAAUGUAUAAAUCUUUUACUACUUAUGUGGCACAACAAGCACUUGGUGUUUCUGUUUUUGUAGACUUCACGCAGAGAAAUGAGGCAUGCUGAAUUUAUCCUUUUGCAACCAUCACAUGAGGUGGAAUCAAGUCUCCAAAUGUGCAGGGGACUGGCAAAAUAGCUGAAGGAAUAAAUCUGGAACUGUUAAAUCAUUUAGUGAUCGUUCUAAACUCAAGGUGAUCUCCAUUAGUACAGAAGAAGUUCUCAUAUAUUACUGGAGAAAUUCUUCGAAUCGUAAACUCUCAGGUAUCCCCUGAGACAAAAAAAAAA